rnacentral:rRNA from 1 species
AUUCUUUGAGCCAAAUAUUACCCUGAUGGGGAUCUAUUAAAUGCUACUCUAAAGAAGAAGGCCUCCUAUACUUGGCAAAGUAUAAUGGAGGGUGUCAAAACACUCAAACUUGGGCAUAUUUGGCGCAUCGAAGAUGGACAGAAGGUAAAUAUGUGGACUGAUGCUUGGAUCCCUCAGUCUCCUUCAAGGCUGCCCAUUAUUGUGAGAGGUAAUCAGUUACUAACUAAAGUUUUAGAUCUAAUUGACCCAACAACGGGACAAUGGGAUGUACAACUGAUUAAGCAAACUUUUUGGCCGGUGGACGCUGAGAGGAUCUUGAAUAUUCCUCUCCCAUCUUUUGACAUGCCUGAUUUCUUGGCAUGGCAUCCCUCCAAUCAUGGUAUCUUCUCGGUGAAAUCGGCUUACCUAGAGGUGUGGAAAAACUGUUAUGAAAGUAAAGUGGAAAUAGGAAACAUUCCAAGUGUUGCAGCUUCAAACCCGAUAUGGGAAUUCAUUUGGAAACUUCCAUGUCCAGCUAAGAUAAAGAUCUUUCUAUGGAGAACUCUACAUGGCACGCUUCCUUGCCGUGUAAACUUAGCAGAUCGGCAUAUGAAACUAUCCACGAAGUGUCCUUCUUGCGAAGAAGCUGAAAGUGUUAAGCACAUGCUCUUUUUAUGCCCAAAAGCAAAGCAAGUAUGGUAUAUGCUGGGUCUCCAGGAGGUGAUUGAGUGGUGA